rnacentral:rRNA from 1 species
GAGUUUGAUCGUGGCUCAGACUGAACGCUGGCGGCAUGCCUAACACAUGCAAGUCGAACGGCAGCGCGGGUAGCAAUACCUGGCGGCGAGUGGCGGACGGGUGAGGAAUACAUCGGAAUCUACCCUGUCGUGGGGGAUAACCAACCGAAAGGUUGGCUAAUACCGCAUACGACCGAGAGGUGAAAGCGGAGGACCGCAAGGCUUCGCGCGAUUGGAUGAGCCGAUGUCGGAUUAGCUAGUUGGCGGGGUAAGAGCCCACCAAGGCGACGAUCCGUAGCUGGUCUGAGAGGAUGAUCAGCCACACUGGGACUGAGACACGGCCCAGACUCCUACGGGAGGCAGCAGUGGGGAAUAUUGGACAAUGGGCGCAAGCCUGAUCCAGCAAUGCCGCGUGUGUGAAGAAGGCCUCGGUUGUAAG